UUAUUUUGUUCCCUGUAUCAAUCCGCAUAAAUCUUUCUCCUUUUACUAAAGAUUUCCGUGGGGAGGAACAAGAAGAGUUUAUCUUGAUUUUUGACGCUCUGCAAAAGCAGAGCU